GAGCCUCGCACCGAUAGCAGCUGUACUCUUGUUUCUCAGUGCGUUGUGAAACAAGCUCUCUAAGGAAUUGGACAAAUAUACCUACAAAGAUUCCGUAAUGGCGCUCUUCAUUCGAAUUUGCCUCGUAUCAUUUCUUUUUCUCGUCCUCCUGGCGUCGGUGGAAGCUCAUCGAGGACACAGAAGAAUGUCAAAAAGAACCAGACAUCACUCAGAUCCGAAGAGAAAUCAUUUCGGACCGUGUUUCCGGGAACAGGAACGAAUCGAGAAAAAGGUCAAAGAAAGAAGGAUCUUCGACUUGCUUCCGCCAUCUUGUGACGACGACGGUUACUAUAAGCCAUUGCAAUGCGAUUUCCACGGCUGUCGUUGCGUCAACAAGCUUGGAAUUCAUCUGAAGAAACUCUGGCGAGGUUGGUUAAGAAGUUCGGCUGAUGCUUGCUCAAGGAUUGCAUUUAGAUAUUGACGACCGUCUGUAUUUGGGCAUAGAAUUUGAAAAGGAAUUUUCGAAUGAAGUCGCCCACCAUUCGCCUAAUCGUGAAAAAAAUUUUCAUGACUUAAUCAGUUAUCAAUUGGUGAAGUUGAUUUAGUAUUGUAUUGACUGACGAACAGCCAAAAUGGCUUCUGGAACAUUUAUGUUUACUUCUUAGUUUCAACCGAAAACAAUGAUUACGCACAAUUAUAGGCAGGCGUUACUUUCACUGUUGGUUAAUAGUGUUAUAUAACCGUUGUUAUGUAAUAUGAAAAAAAAUCGUAGUA